CAAGUCGAACGGAAACGAUGUUAGCUUGCUAACAGGCGUCGAGUGGCGGACGGGUGAGUAACGCGUAUAGAACCUACCUUUUACAGAGGGAUAGCCCAGAGAAAUUUGGAUUAAUACCUCAUAGUAUUAUAGAUUGGCAUCGAUUUAUAAUUAAACAUUUAUGGGUAAGAGAUGGCUAUGCGUCCUAUUAGUUAGUUGGUAAGGUAACGGCUUACCAAGACAGUGAUAGGUAGGGGUCCUGAGAGGGGGACCCCCACACACUGGUACUGAGACACGGACCAGACUCC
rnacentral:rRNA from 1 species